AAGUCUCCUGGCUUUAGGGCUGCUUCCCUAUAAAGUGGAGCUCCAUUAAGGGUGACAGGUCCUCCUCUGAAUGGACGCGCCAAGGCUAAGGAAGAACGAGAACCAGAAGUAUAAUUGCAGACAGUAUUGGCUCGGUGUCAGGGUACCUUGACCGCGUGGUUGCUCUGGGACGGCUGAGUCUCUUCUGAUCAGGAGGUGUCGGGCAAGCAGGUCAGGGGCUGAGAGAACGCCGAGGGUCAUUGCUAGCGUUGUUGCCCUGACGACGUCUUAGACUCAGGUUCAUAUCACUAAUACUCCUCCUGAGUUCUGUGUUCCGCCCUCGAUGACCUCGUUCUUCUUCUGCACCACCCCCGGAGGACAUGCGGCUCCGCCUCCAACGUACUCCUGUUACCACAAUAGUGUUUUCCCACAAAUUAAUGGGCACACUGGCGCUGGAUCUCAAACCGUCGUUCGAAACCAUCCUUUGGUCUCCACAUAUCCACUAGCUGUAAGGGGCAUUCCCAGGAUGCCACGCCCCUUCGGCACUCGGUUUGCCAUUUAAUGGCUCCAUCUGGCUGCUGAAUGGGCUUUCCAAUGACAUCACAUAACAGGAAGUCCUCGGGGGAAUAUUUCUGGAGAGCUGACCAGUGUAGCGGGUGAUGACCUGCUGAAUGAGCUGGCGAGCAGUGGAGUUCAUGUUUGCCAGCAGGCUCCGAUAGUUAGCCCCACUGGAUAGGGCAUCUCCAUAGAUCUUGACCAGCCCAGGGGCAUUAGAGGAAGCAGGAGGCAGGUAGUGAUGUGAUGAAGGGGUGGCAGAAUGCGCCCAUAUUUCCCUCUCACGUUCUCCAAUGGCACGGUCUCGGUCACUGUUGGACCGGCCUCUCAGGAAAAGAGAGUAAGAGAAAGUUCAGAACACUGACUUGACUGAUGCUGCACUGGGCCAACGAGCUCCCAGCUUGGCAAAGUGUUUCCGUGGAGAAUUUAUCCACAAGCCCACUGGGAAAUGGAGCUUCCUAAAUCGGGGACUGCCAGACUCCUCCAUCUGAGGGAGUGAGAGAGGGAGGAGGGCUUCUGAAAAAAAAAAAGAGGAAGCAGGAAACCUGGGACAGGAUGUCAAAGACAGAGAGGCACCUGUAACCUUUAACCUUGUCAACAACAGAAUGAUGUGUCAGGAAAGAAGCAUUUGUAUAUUUAUGUGAAUGUGUGUAUAUCUAUAUAUCCUAUUUGAGUGUAAUGCAAGGUUUGAGAGGUUUAUGCACAAAACAAGAAUAAAAUAGUAAAAU